UCCUUAGAUGUUCUGGGCCGCACGCGUGCUACACUGAGUGGAUCAGCGGGUCAGGUUGCGCGAAAGUGUUUCCUAAUCUUGAAAUCCGCUCGUGAUGGGGAUUGACGGUUGCAAUUUUCCGUCAUGAACGAGGAAUACCUUGUAAGCGCGGGUCAUCAUCCCGCGCUGAAUACGUCCCUGCCCUUUGUACACACCGCCCGUCGCUCCUACCGAUUGAGUGGUCCGGUGAGGCUUUGGGAUCUGAGCAAAAAGAGCGUUUCGCUCGUUUGGCUCGGAAAACUCAGUCGAACCUUAUCAUUUAGAGGAAGGAGAAGUCGUAACA
rnacentral:rRNA from 1 species